CCUACGGGAGGCAGCAGUAGGGAAUCUUCCACAAUGGGCGAAAGCCUGAUGGAGCAACGCCGCGUGGGUGAAGAAGGUCUUCGGAUCGUAAAACCCUGUUGUUAGAGAAGAAAGUGCGUGAGAGUAACUGUUCACGUUUCGACGGUAUCUAACCAGAACGCCACGGCUAACUACGUGCCAGCAGCCGCGGUAAUACGUAGGUGGCAUGCGUUGUCCGGAUUUAUUGGGCGUAAAGGGAACGCAGGCGGUCUUUUAAGUCUGAUGUGAAAGGCUUCGGCUUAACCGGAGUAGUGCAUUGGAAACUGGGAGACUUGAGUGCAGAUGAGGAGAGUGGAACUCCAGGUGUAGCGGUGAAAUGCGUAGAUAUAUGGAAGAACACCAGUGGCGAAAGCGGCUCUCUGGUCUGUAACUGACGCUGAGGUUCGAAAGCGUGGGUAGCAAACAGGAUUAGAUACCCUUGUAGUC
rnacentral:rRNA from 1 species